rnacentral:rRNA from 1 species
AAUAGAUACCCCGGUAGUCCACGCCCUAAACGAUGUCUACUAGUUGUCGGGGGGUAACUCCUUCGGUAACGCAGCUAACGCGUGAAGUAGACCGCCUGGGGAGUACGGUCGCAAGAUUAAAACUCAAAGGAAUUGACGGGGACCCGCACAAGCGGUGGAUGAUGUGGAUUAAUUCGAUGCAACGCGAAAAACCUUACCUACCCUUGACAUGCCACUAACGAAGCAGAGAUGCAUUAGGUGCCCGAAAGGGAAAGUGGACACAGGUGCUGCAUGGCUGUCGUCAGCUCGUGUCGUGAGAUGUUGGGUUAAGUCCCGCAACGAGCGCAACCCUUGCCAAUAGUUGCUACGAAAGGGCACUCUAUUGGGACUGCCGGUGACAAACCGGAGGAAGGUGGGGAUGACGUCAAGUCCUCAUGGCCCUUAUGGGUAGGGCUUCACACGUCAUACAAUGGCUGGUACAGAGGGUUGCCAACCCGGCGAGGGGGGAGCCAAUCCCACAAAACCCAGUCGUAGUCCGGAUUGCAGUCUGCAACUCGACUGCAUG